GGGUGAGUAACACGUGAGCAACCUGCCUAUCAGAGGGGGAUAACGAUUGGAAACGAUCGCUAAUACCGCAUGACAUAGCGGAAUCGCAUGGUUCUGUUAUCAAAGAUUUUAUCGCUGAUAGAUGGGCUCGCGUCCGAUUAGAUAGUUGGUGGGGUAACGGCCUACCAAGUCGACGAUCGGUAGCCGGACUGAGAGGUCGAACGGCCACAUUGGGACUGAGACACGGCCCAGACUCCUACGGGAGGCAGCAGUGGGGGAUAUUGCACAAUGGGGGAAACCCUGAUGCAGCGACGCCGCGUGAGGGAAGACGGUCCUCUGGAUUGUAAACCUCUGUCUUCGGGGACGAAACGAGACGGUACCCGAGGAGGAAGCCACGGCUAACUGCGUGCCAGCAGCCGCGGUAAUACGUAGGUGGCAAGCGUUGUCCGGAAUUACUGGGUGUAAAGGGAGCGUAGGCGGGCAGGCAAGUCAGGCGUGAAAUAUAUCGGCUCAACCGGUAACGGCGCUUGAAACUGCAGGUCUUGAGUGAAGUAGAGGUUGGCGGAAUUCCUAGUGUAGCGGUGAAAUGCGUAGAUAUUAGGAGGAACACCAGUGGCGAAGGCGGCCAACUGGGCUUUUACUGACGCUGAGGCUCGAAAGUGUGGGGAGCAAACAGGAUUAGAUACCCUGGUAGUCCACACCGUAAACGAUGAUUACUAGGUGUGGGGGGACU
rnacentral:rRNA from 1 species